AAGACUAUAGACCUGCGGAGUACCUGCGGAGGGAUCAUUACAGGACUCGCAAGACUCCUACAACCCUGUGAACUUAACUAUAAGCACGUUGCUUCGGCGGGUGUCUCGGCGAGGGUUCUCCCUCCCCGGGGCGCUAAGCCCGCCGGCAGCCUACUAUACUCUGUCUCUUUGCGUUGGCAUCUCGAGUACAAACAAACAAGUUAAAACUUUCAGCAACGGAUCUCUAGAUCGGAAGAGCAC
rnacentral:misc_RNA from 1 species